UUGCAGCUAAUUAAGCCUACCAAGUCCCUUUCCCCACAGGGACUUGGUAUGCGUUGAUUGCAAAUAGCAGCCUCCUUGGUAUAGUGUCUGCAGCCUGUUGUCUGUAUGGGUUGCCCCAAAGGACUUUGGAGACAACU